rnacentral:rRNA from 1 species
GUGUGUAACAACUCACCUGCCGAAUGAAUUANCCCUGAAAAUGGAUGGCGCUGAAGCGGGUAGCCGACACUGUGCCGUCUGGGCAAAAAAAAGUUUGAAAAAUGAAAUUUUGAGGGAUGAUCCANAUGAGUAGGAGGAAUGUGGCGGUUGUAUUGAAGCGUGUGCGCAAGCAUGCGUGGAACGGCCGCUAGUACAGAUCUUGGUGGUAGUAGCAAAUAUUCAAAUGAGAACCUUGAAGGGCGAAGCGGGGAAGGGUUCCACGCGAACAUUGAUUGGGCGUGGGUGAGUCGUUCCUAAGCCGUGUGGUAAUGGUAAGAGAAAGCGGCGAAAGGGAAGCAGGUUGAUAUUCCUGCACACGGAUGUGGAUAUGCGGUGACGCACACUGGGGCGGUGAAGUCGUCGAUUGCACUGGGCAGAGAUUUCUUUUCUGUUUGACGGAGCCUGACUGUACGCUAUGGAAUCCGCUUGUCGGGAGAAAUAGGUAUGUCACGGCAAAGCGCCGGGUUUUUUUCUGGCGUCCAGUUUGCGAUUGGCGGACCUUGAAAAACUGUCUGCUGGCAAAACACUGGUGUUGUUUUGUGUGAAAAAUUCCACGCCGUAACGUACCCAUAACCGCAUCAGGUCCCCAAGGUGAACAGCCUCUGCUCGAUAUGAAAAAUGCAGGUGAGGGAAGUCGGCAAAUUGGACCCGUAACUUUGGGAAAAGGGUUGGCUCUAGUGCUGUGUAGGAGUGGUUGCUGGUUGUAGCUGCGGGAUGUGGUGUUUUGUUUGUAUGUGAGGGCCUGCGGGCGAAUUUUAGGAUUUGCUUGCGCUUUUGCGUGGGAACGAAGCCCCUUUUNGUGGUUCCUGGCGACGCGUACAGCAUGCAGCAAACUAGAACUGCAACGGACAAANGGAAUNNGACUGUUUAAUUAAAACAAAGCAU